AGGCACAGUGGCUCACACCUGUAAUCCCAGCACUUUGGGAGACCAAGGUGGGCGGAUCACUUGAGGUCAGGAGUUCAAGAUCAGACUGGCCAAUAUAGCGAGACCCUGUCUCUACUAACAGUACAAAAAUCAGUGUGGACACCCAUCAAUAUGGUGCCCUCCCAGGAGCGGGGAACCACCAGGUCGCCUAAGAAGGGUUGAACCAGCCCAGGUCGGAAAUAGAACAGGUCAAAACUCCUGUGCUGGUCAGUAGUAAGAUUGUGCCUGUGAAUAGCCACUGCACUCCAACCUGGGCAACAUAGCGAGACCCCAUCUCUU
ensembl:misc_RNA Metazoa_SRP Metazoan signal recognition particle RNA